CUUGACUGUAUCCUGGAAUUGGGUUCGGGCUUUUCUUGCGCAGCCUAGGUGGGAGGCUAUGAAGAUUUCCUUCCGGGGAAGUUGGAGCCAUCAGUGAGAGACCACUCUGGAGAGGCUAGAAUCCUAAUGGUGAUCCUUGAAUCAGGACACUUGACAGUUUCAGGCGGGCAGUUUUUCUGGGGCGGAAACCUCAUAAAAGGUAACUGAGGUGCGCAAAGGUUCCCUCAGUCUGGACGGAAAUCAGACAACGAGUGUAAAGGCAAAAGGGGGCUUGACUGCAAGACCUACAAGUCGAGCAGGAGCGAAAGCUGGCCUUAGUGAUCCGACGGUACCGUGUGGAAGGGCCGUCGCUCAACGAAUAAAAGUUA
rnacentral:rRNA from 1 species